rnacentral:rRNA from 1 species
GAUGAACGCUGGCGGCGUGCCUAAUACAUGCAAGUCGAGCGAACAGACGAGGAGCUUGCUCCUCUGACGUUAGCGGCGGACGGGUGAGUAACACGUGGAUAACCUACCUAUAAGACUGAGAUAACUUCGGGAAACCGGAGCUAAUACCGGAUAAUAUAUUGAACCGCAUGGUUCAAUAGUGAAAGACGGUUUUGCUGUCACUUAUAGAUGGAUCCGCGCCGCAUUAGCUAGUUGGUAAGGUAACGGCUUACCAAGGCAACGAUGCGUAGCCGACCUGAGAGGGUGAUCGGCCACACUGGAACUGAGACACGGUCCAGACUCCUACGGGAGGCAGCAGUAGGGAAUCUUCCGCAAUGGGCGAAAGCCUGACAGAGCAACGCCGCGUGAGUGAUGAAGGUCUUCGGAUCGUAAAACUCUGUUAUUAGGGAAGAACAAAUGUGUAAGUAACUAUGCACGUCUUGACGGUACCUAAUCAGAAAGCCACGGCUAACUACGUG